UACGUAGGGUGCAAGCGUUAAUCGGAAUUACUGGGCGUAAAGCGUGCGCAGGCGGUGAUGUAAGACAGAUGUGAAAUCCCCGGGCUCACCUGGGAACUGCAUUUGUGACUGCAUCGCUGGAGUACGGCGAGAGGGGGAUGGAAUUCCGCGUGUAGCAGUGAAAUGCGUAGAUAUGCGGAGGAACACCGAUGGCGAAGGCAAUCCCCUGGGCCUGUACUGACGCUCAUGCACGAAAGCGUGGGGAGCAAACAGG
rnacentral:rRNA from 1 species